CUAUACUGCAGUCGAGCGGACCGACGGGAGCUUGCUCCCUUAGGUCAGCGGCGGACGGGUGAGUAACACGUGGGUAACCUGCCUGUAAGACUGGGAUAACUCCGGGAAACCGGGGCUAAUACCGGAUGCUUGAUUGAACCGCAUGGUUCAAUCAUAAAAGGUGGCUUUUAGCUACCACUUACCGAUGGACCCGCGGCGCAUUAACUAGUUGGUGAGGUAACGGCUCACCAAGGGGACGAUGCGUAACCGACCUGAAAGGGUGAUCGGCCACACUGGGACUGAAACACGGCCCAGACUCCUACGGGAGGGAGCAGUAGGGAAUCUUCCGCAAUGGACGAAAGUCUGACGGAACAACGCCGCGUGAGUGAUGAAGGUUUUCGGAUCGUAAAACUCUGUUGUUAGGGAAAAACAAGUACCGUUCGAAUAGGGCGGCACCUUGACGGUACCUAACCAAAAAGCCCCGGCUAACUACGUGCCAGCAGCCGCGGUAAUACGUAAGUGGCAAGCGUUGUCCGGAAUUAAUGGGCGUAAAGCGCGCGCAGGCGGUUUCUUAAGUCUGAUGUGAAAGCCCCCGGCUCCACCGGGGAGGGUCAUUGGAAACUGGGGA
rnacentral:rRNA from 1 species